ensembl:lncRNA
CUGGGCCAGGCCAGCCCCUGAGAUAGGUCAUCCAAGCUCCACCCUCUUUGUUGUUGUUCAGCCACUGAGUCAUGUUCCACUCUUUGCGACCCCAUGGACUGCAGCUGCCAGGCUUCCCUGUCCUUCUCUAUCUCCCGGAGUUUGCCCAAAUUCAUGUUCACUGAGUCGGUGAUGCCAUCUAAUUUCUCAUCCUCUGCCACCUUAUUCUCCUUUUGCCUUCAGUCUUGCCCAGCACCAGGAUCUUCUAGUGGAGUCAUUUUCUGAGAUUCCACAGCACCUGUGCUGGUACCUCUGUCCUACAGCUUAUUACGGUUUGUUGUUCACAGCCUGGUUCUGCACUUGAAACAGAACUUUGUCUUGUGCACCCAGAGAAUGAAUUGCCUUUACUUUGCUGUUUGAAUGGAUGGAUAUCCUCUUAAUUUGCUGCCGAAGGCUUUCUCUUCACCCUCUUCCCCAGCUAGACCUGAGUGACCAACUUCAUUUUUUUCCACCACAUAUAUCCAGGAAGCUGGGAUUUUAAGUGUUUGAUGUCUGUUUUACACUACUCAUAACUUGACAUUUUCUAUUUCAACCUAGUCCAAAUGAGGUGAAUAAAAAUAAUGCUUGCCCCUGUUCCCUUUUCCCUUUUUCUUUUACCUUUACUCAAAAAACAUUUUCACCAUGACUGUAGCCAUACCAACUAGACAGAUGAUUUAAACUGCAAACUGUUGAGUUUUCCCCCCCGACUCAAAGCCACUAUAUCCUUCUGUAGUUUAGAUGUUCCUUUUAUUACAGAAAGGUCACAAGGAAAUUUCUCUAACUUUUGGAAUUUAAACUUUCCAUGUGUAUGGGGUCUAUAUCAUUAGUAAGUAGAGAGUUAAAUAGCUGUUAACAGUAGGAGACACAUUUUACGCUUAGUAAUGUGCUGUGCUGCGAAGAGUCAGACACGACAUAGCAAUGAAAACUGUCAACCCUUAGAAUGUUGUAUUAAGACAGUAUUUAGAGUUUGGGCUCUGGAACAGCUGAAGUGGGUGGGCAGUAAAUAUGUCUUAGGCUCUCAUUUAAAUGUCAGAAUCUUGGUACUCAGUGUGAGACUUGUCUUUUCAGACCGUCAAAAGUUAUUUUCUUAAAAAGAGAAUGCAUUAUGUUCUUAUAUUCAUCUAAUGAAUUUCUGGCAUUUGGAAAAUGUACUUAAGCUAGCCAUAAUGCUUGUAAUCUUACAUUUUUGGUCUACAUGCAUUCUUGACAUG